rnacentral:rRNA from 1 species
CGCGUAGGCGGCCCUUUAAGUCAGAUGUGAAAGCCCGGGGCUUAACCCCGGAAGUGCAUUUGAAACUAUUGGGCUUGAGUAUGGGAGAGGGAAGUGGAAUUCCUGGUGUAGAGGUGAAAUUCGUAGAUAUCAGGAGGAACACCGGUGGCGAAGGCGACUUCCUGGACCAAUACUGACGCUGAGGCGCGAAGGCGUGGGGAGCAAACAGGAUUAGAUACCCUGGUAGUCC